UACGAAGGGGGCUAGCGUUGCUCGGAAUUACUGGGCGUAAAGGGCGCGUAGGCGGAUGUUUAAGUCGGGGUGAAAGCCCAGGGCUCAACCCUGGAAUUGCCUUCGAUACUGGACAUCUUGAGUGCGGGAGAGGUGAGUGGAACUCCGAGUGUAGAGGUGAAAUUCGUAGAUAUUCGGAAGAACACCAGUGGCGAAGGCGACUCACUGGCCCGUUACUGACGCUGAUGCGCGAAAGCGUGGGGAGCAAACAGGG
rnacentral:rRNA from 1 species